AACGUAGGUGGCAAGCGUUAUCCGGAAUUACUGGGCGUAAAGGGCUCGCAGGCGGCCGACUAAGUCAGACGUGAAAUCCCUUGGCUUAACCAAGGAAUGGCGUCUGAUACUGGACGGCUUGAAUUCGGGAGAGGGAUGUGGAAUUCCAGGUGUAGCGGUGAAAUGCGUAGAUAUCUGGAGGAACACCGGUGGCGAAGGCGGCAUCCUGGACCGAUAUUGACGCUGAGGAGCGAAAGCCAGGGGAGCAAACGGG
rnacentral:rRNA from 1 species